rnacentral:rRNA from 1 species
ACGUAGGGGGCGAGCGUUAUCCGGAAUUAUUGGGCGUAAAGAGUGCGUAGGUGGUAACUUAAGCGCGGGGUUUAAGGCAAUGGCUUAACCAUUGUUCGCCCUGCGAACUGGGAUACUUGAGUGCAGGAGAGGAAAGCGGAAUUCCUAGUGUAGCGGUGAAAUGCGUAGAUAUUAGGAGGAACACCAGUGGCGAAGGCGGCUUUCUGGACUGAAACUGACACUGAGGCACGAAAGUGUGGGGAGCAAACAG